ACGGGUGAGUAACGCGUGGGAAACUACCCUAUGGUACGGAAUAACACAGAGAAAUUUGUGCUAAUACCGUAUGUGUCCUUCGGGAGAAAGAUUUAUCGCCAUAGGAUGUGCCCGCGUCGGAUUAGCUAGUUGGUGGGGUAAUGGCCCACCAAGGCGACGAUCCGUAGCUGGUCUGAGAGGAUGAUCAGCCACAUUGGGACUGAGACACGGCCCAAACUCCUACGGGAGGCAGCAGUGGGGAAUAUCGGACAAUGGGCGCAAGCCUGAUCCAGCCAUGCCGCGUGAGUGAUGAAGGCCUUAGGGUUGUAAAGCUCUUUCGCUCGCGAGGAUAAUGACGGUAGCGAGAGAAGAAGCCCCGGCUAACUUCGUGCCAGCAGCCGCGGUAAUACGAAGGGGGCUAGCGUUGUUCGGAAUCACUGGGCGUAAAGCGCUCGUAGGCGGAUAUUUAAGUCAGAGGUGAAAGCCUGGGGCUCAACUCCAGAACUGCCUUUGAUACUGGGUAUCUUGAGUCCGGUAGAGGUGAGUGGAACUGCUAGU
rnacentral:rRNA from 1 species